GGUAACAGGUCUUCGGAUGCUGACGAGUGGCGAACGGGUGAGUAAUACAUCGGAACGUGCCCGAUCGUGGGGGAUAACGAAGCGAAAGCUUUGCUAAUACCGCAUAAGAUCUACGGAUGAAAGCAGGGGACCGCAAGGCCUUGCGCGAACGGAGCGGCCGAUGGCAGAUUAGGUAGUUGGUGGGAUAAAAGCUUACCAAGCCGACGAUCUGUAGCUGGUCUGAGAGGACGACCAGCCACACUGGGACUGAGACACGGCCCAGACUCCUACGGGAGGCAGCAGUGGGGAAUUUUGGACAAUGGGCGAAAGCCUGAUCCAGCCAUGCCGCGUGCAGGAUGAAGGCCUUCGGGUUGUAAACUGCUUUUGUACGGAACGAAAAGACUCUGGUUAAUACCUGGGGUCCAUGACGGUACCGUAAGAAUAAGCACCGGCUAACUACGUGCCAGCAGCCGCGGUAAUACGUAGGGUGCAAGCGUUAAUCGGAAUUACUGGGCGUAAAGCGUGCGCAGGCGGUUAUAUAAGACAGAUGUGAAAUCCCCGGGCUCAACCUGGGAACUGCAUUUGUGACUGUAUAGCUAGAGUACGGCAGAGGGGGAUGGAAUUCCGCGUGUAGCAGUGAAAUGCGUAGAUAUGCGGAGGAACACCGAUGGCGAAGGCAAUCCCCUGGGGCCUGUACUGACGCUCAUGCACGAAAGC
rnacentral:rRNA from 1 species